CAUGCACAUACACACAAACAGAUAUUCACGCACAUACACACACAUUCACGCACAAGCACAUACACACACACAUGCACACACACACGCACACACAUUCACAUACACACACACACACACACACAUGGAAGUAGAGGUACACACGUGCACGGAGGCCCCCCCCCACACACACACACCAGCAUCGUGCUGCAUUGUGAGAAAAGGUGACUGCACAUGACUUCUUGGAUUGUUGUGCAUGGACAAGGAACGACACCACCUGGAAUUUCUCUUUCACUUUCUUCCCGCUUACGUUUUGGAACUUUUGCUGGCCUGAGAGUUGCGGAAUGCUCUUGGAUCACAAACAACAACAACAACAACAACAACAACAAAGACUUGUCGUGUGCACCUUCUUCCCACACAAACAGGAAGUGCACGAUGUGCGCAAACUGCGAAAAUGCUAACGCUAGCAUGCCCACAGUUAAAAUUGGACAACUACCAAAUAUAAGUGAAUAAGUAGGAAAUAUAAUAUUUAAUCAUUUAAGUGUAACAUUACUGAGGCAUACGCAGGCAAAAUUAGCUAAAUAAAAGCAUUAGCAUCUUUACAGUUAGCAUGUGUCAAGUAAAAAGUGCUAUGACGCAAAAAUAUUAGUCAGUACAUGUAAAGAACCAAGGACUCUGGUAAAUGUUUGCAGAAUUAGCGGAAAAACAGUCAACAUGCUCAUUUUAUCAUGCUAGCAUGCUAACGUUAGCAUGCUAACAGUUACAACACUUCAAGUACAAAGGGAUAUGACUGAGGUGUACGGCGACAUAAUUGGCAAGCAAAGUUAGCAUGUGCAAGGUACCAAGUUAUUUGAGUCUGGGGUAAACAGUUGCAAAAUUAUGAAAGCAAGUUAGCAUGCUGAUUUUGUCAUGUUAGCAUGCCAACAGUUAGCAUAAGUCAAGUAACAAGUGAUAUGACUCUGAAGUGUAUGGCGACAGAAUUGGCAAGCAAAGAUAGCAUGCAAAAAGUUAGCAUGUGGAAGGUACCAAGUUGUUUGACUCGGGGGUAAAUGGUUGCAAAAUUAUGAAAGAGAGUUAGCAUACUGAUUUUGUCAUGUUAGCAUGCCAACAGUUAGCAUAAACUGAGUACCAAGUGAUAUGACUCUGAGGAGUACAGUGAGAGAUUUGUCAAAAAGAGUUAAUCAAGUACCAAGUUAGAUGACUCUGGGGUAUAUGGUUGCAAAAUUACCACACGAAAAAUUAGCAUGCUAGCAUGAUAAAUUAACACGCUAACAGUUAACAUUCGUCAAGUACCAACUUAGGUGACUGUAGUGUAAAUGGUUGCAAAAUUAGCAAAAAAAAAAUGGUAGCAUACUAAUUUUAUCAUGCUAACAUGCUAGCAUAAAAGUCAGCAUGAGUCAAGUACCAAGUGAAAAGACUAAGGGAAAAGGUUGCAAAAUUAGCACAAAACAAAAACUUAGCAUGCUAUCGUUAGCAUGCUAACAGUUAACAUGAGUCAAGUACCAAGUUAUAUGACUCUGGGGUAAACAAUAGCAAAAUUAGCACAAAAAAAUUUUACAUGCAAAUCUUAUCCCACUAUCAUGCUAACAGUUAACAUGUGUCAAGUACCAAGUUAGAUGACUCUAAAGGGAAAAGGUUGCAAAAUUAGAACAAAAAAAAAGUUAGCAUGCUAAUUUGAUCACAUUAGCAUGAUAACAGUUAGCAUGAGUCAAGUACCAAGUUAGACGACACUGGGGCAGAUAAUUACAAAAUUAGCACAAUAAAAAGUUAGCCUGCUAAUUUUAUCACGCUAGCAUGUUAACAGUUAUCAUGUGCCAAGUACCAAGUUAGACGACUCUAAGGAAAAAGGUUGAAAAAUUAGAAGAAAAAACCUUAGCAUGCUAAUUUUAUCCCGUUAGUAUGCUAACAGUUACCACGAGACCUACACCAAGUUAGAUGACUCUGGGGUAAACAAUUGCAAAAUUAACACACCAAAAAGUUUGCGUGCUAACAGUUAACAUGAGUCCAAUACCAAGUUACAUGACUCUGAGGUAAACACUUUCAAAAUUAGCACACAAAAAAAGUUAGCAUGCUAAUUUUAUCCCGCUAACAUGCUAACAGUUAUCAUGAGUCAAGUACCAAGUUAGAUGACUUGGGGGUAAACAAUUGCAAAAUUAACACAAUAAAAAAAUUUGCAUACUAAUUUUAUCAUGCUAGUUUGCUAACAGUUAAUUUUAAUCAAGUACCAAGUUAGAUAACUCUAAGGGAAAAGGCUGCAAAAUUAGAAGAAAAAAACCUUAGUAUGCUAAUUUUAUCCCGCUAGCAUGCAAACAGUUAACAUGGCUCAAGUACCAAGUUAGACAGGGUAAACAAUUGCAAAAUUAGCACAAAAAAAUUAGCAUGCAAAUUUUAUCACGCUAACAUGCUAACAGUUAAGAUGAGUCAAGUACCACGUUAUACGACUCUGGGGCAAACAAUUGCAAAAUUAACACAACAAAAAGUUAGCACGCUAAUUUUAUCAUGCUAUCAUGCUAACAGUCAACAUGGGUCAAGUACCAGGUUAGAUGACUCUGGGGUAAACACUUGCAAAAUUAGCACACAAAAAAAAGUUAGCAUGUUAACUGUCUCAUGUUAGCGCUAGCAUGCUAACAGUUAGCAUUAGUCAAGUACCAAGUUAGACGACUCUGGGGUAAACACUUGCAAAAUUAGCACCAAAAUAAAAAACAAAAAAAUAAAUUAGCAUGCUAACAGUUAGCAUGAGUCAAGUACCAAGUUAGACGACUCUGGGGUAAACAAUUGCAAAAUUAGCACCAAAAUUAAAAGAACAUUUUAAAAAAUAGCAUGCUAACAGUUAGCAUGAGUCAAGUACUAAGUUAGAUGACUCUGUCUGGGGUAAACACUUGCAAAAUUAGCACCAAAAUUAAAACAAAAUUUUAAAAAAUAGCAUGCGAACAGUUAGCAUGAGUCAAGUACCAAGUUAGAUGACUGGUGUAAACACUUGCAAAAUUAGCACAAAAAAAAAAUAAAGGUAGCAUGCUAACUGUCGAAUGUUAGCGCUAACAUGCUAACAGUUAGCAUGAGUCAAGCACCAAGUUAGACGACUCUGGGGUAAACAUUUGCAAAAUUAGCACAUAAAUAAACUUUUUUUUUUUUUUUUGCAUGCUAACAGUUAGCAUGAGUCAAGUACCAAGUUAAAUGACUCUGGGGUAAACAAUUGCAAAAUUAGCACAAAUAUAUAUAUAUAUAUAUAUAUAUAUUUAGCAUGCUAACAGUUAGCAUGAGUCAAGUACCGAGGUAGACGAGUCUGGGGUAAACACUUGCAAAAUUAGCACAAAAACAAAACAAAACAAAAGUUAGCAUGAGUUAAGUACCAAGUUAGAUGACUCUGGGAUAAACACUUGCAAAAUUAUCACACAAAAAACAGUUAGCAUGCUAACUGUCUCAUGUUAGCGCUAGCAUGCUAAUAGUUAGCAUGAGUCAAGUACCAAGUUAGACAACUCUGGGGUAAACACUUGCAAAAUUAGCACCAAAAUAAAAAACAAAACAAAAAUUAGCAUGCUAACAGUUAGUAUGAGUCAAGUACCAAGUUAAACGACUCUGGGGUAAACAAUUGCAAAAUUUGCACCAAAAUAAAAAAAUUACCAUGCUAACAGUAAGCGUGAGUCAAGUACUAAGUUAGAUGACUGUCUGGGGUAAACACUUGCAAAAUUAACACCAAAAUAAAACAAAUAAAAAAAUAGCAUGCUAACAGUAAGCAUGAGUCAAGUACCAAGUUAGAUGACUGGGGAAAACACUAGUAAAAUUAGCACACAAAAAAAAGUAGCAUGCUAACUGUCUAAUGUUAGUGCUAGCAUGCUAACAGUUAGCAUGAGUCAAGUACCAAGUUAGACGACUUUGGGGUAAACACUUGCAAAAUUAACACAUAGAUAAAAAAUAAAACAUUUUUUGCAUGCUAACAGUUAGCAUGGGUCAAGUACCAAGUUAGAUGACUCUGGGGUAAACAAUUGCAAAAUUAGCACCAAUAUAUAUAUAUAUUUUAGCAUGCUAACAGUUAGCAUGAGUCAAGUACCAAGGUAGACGAUUCUGGGGUAAACACUUGCAAAAUUAGCACAAAAACAAAACAAAACAAAACAAAAGUUAGCAUGAGUCAAGUACCAAGUUAGAUGAUUCUGGGAUAAACACUUGCAAAAUUAUCACACAAAAAAAAGUUAGCAUGCUAACUGUCUCAUGUUAGCGCUAGCAUGCUAACAGUUAGCAUGAGUCAAGUACCAAGUUACACGACUCUGGGGUAAACACUUGCAAAAUUAGCACCAAAAUAAAAAACAAAAAAUAAAUUAGCAUGCUAACAGUUAGUAUGAGUCAAGUACCAAGUUAAACGACUCUGGGGUAAACAAUUGCAAAAUUUGCACCAAAGUAAAAAAAUUACUAUGCUAACAGUAAGCAUGAGUCAAGUACUAAGUUAGAUGACUGUCUGGGGUAAACACUUGCAAAAUUAACACCAAAAUAAAACAAAUAAAAAAAUAGCAUGCUAACAGUAAGCAUGAGUCAAGUACCAAGUUAGAUGACUGGGGAAAACACUUGUAAAAUUAGCACACAAAAAAAAGUAGCAUGCUAACUGUCUCAUGUUAGCACUAGCAUGCUAACAGUUAGCAUGAGUCAAGUACCAAGUUAGACGACUUUGGGGUAAACACUUGCAAAAUUAGCACAUAGAUAAAAAAUAAAACAUUUUUUGCAUGCUAACAGUUAGCAUGAGUCAAGUACCAAGUUAGACGACUCUGGGGUAAACAAUUGCAAAAUUAGCACCAAAAUAUAUA